AAAUGACAAUUACGUGGUGACAUUAUUUGAGUGGCAACGAUAGAAUAUACUAGAUUGAACAUGGAAUUAUUUAGUAACAAUUUCUGGUAACACUACGUUUGGAAAGCUUUUUCUCGUCAUGGCAGACACGGAGCCCUCGCGCAGCUGCCCCGCUUGUAUCGUCCAGGAUCUGCACCGAGUUGGAGCAUCGUUUGUGCUUGCAUUGUUGAAGGAACAAUGCAAGCGUAUUGCACUUGCCCGUUGGUGUUAGUGUGAGGCAGCAAGUCAUCUGGCUGCGUGUAGUGGCCACCACUGCAGUGUGUGCAGUGGCAUCGUGAGAUGUGAGGCAGCGAAUCAUCUGCCCCAGUUUGGUUGCUGCAUGUGGUGGUGCGUGUAGUUAUGUUUCGCCGUCUCUGUGAGGAAGCAAGCGUGUUGCACUUGCCCGUUGGUGGAUUUGUGAGGCAGCAAGUCGUCUGCCCCCAGGUUAGUUGCUGCGUGUAGUGGUGCGUGCGGUGAGCAUCGCUGCCGUCUGUGUGAGUGGGCUGGGCACUGCGCCACAAGUGCUUCGUGGGACAGUGUAGAUGCAUCAGUUUUGUGUGUGGUCUGUAAUGGA